CAGGAUGGACCCGCGUCUGAUUAGCUAGUUGGUAAGGUAACGGCUUACCAAGGCGACGAUCAGUAGCCGACCUGAGAGGGUGAUCGGCCACAUUGGAACUGAGACACGGUCCAAACUCCUACGGGAGGCAGCAGUGGGGAAUAUUGCACAAUGGGCGAAAGCCUGAUGCAGCAACGCCGCGUGAGUGAUGAAGGCCUUCGGGUCGUAAAACUCUGUCCUCAAGGAAGAUAAUGACGGUACUUGAGGAGGAAGCCCCGGCUAACUACGUGCCAGCAGCCGCGGUAAUACGUAGGGGGCUAGCGUUAUCCGGAUUUACUGGGCGUAAAGGGUGCGUAGGCGGUCUUUCAAGUCAGGAGUGAAAGGCUACGGCUCAACCGUAGUAAGCUCUUGAAACUGGGAGACUUGAGUGCAGGAGAGGAGAGUGGAAUUCCUAGUGUAGCGGUGAAAUGCGUAGAUAUUAGGAGGAACACCAG
rnacentral:rRNA from 1 species